rnacentral:rRNA from 1 species
CGAAGGAUCCAAGCGUUAUCCGGAUUUAUUGGGUUUAAAGGGUGCGUAGGCGGAUUGAUAAGUCAGUGGUGAAAGCCUGCAGCUUAACUGCAGAACUGCCAUUGAUACUGUCAAUCUUGAAUGUGGUUGAUGUGGGCGGAAUAUGACAUGUAGCGGUGAAAUGCUUAGAUAUGUCAUAGAACACCGAUUGCGAAGGCAGCUCACAAAGCCAUUAUUGACGCUGAGGCACGAAAGCGUGGGGAUCAAACAGGAUUAGAUACCCUGGUAGUCCACGCUGUAAACUUUGAUCACUCGCUGUUGGCGAUACACUGUCAGCGGCUAAGCGAAAGCGUUAAGUGAUCCACCUGGGGAGUACGAUCGCAAGAUUG